UACGGGGGGAGCAAGCGUUGUUCGGAUUUACUGGGCGUAAAGGGCGCGUAGGCGGCGUGGUAAGUCACUUGUGAAAUCUCCGGGCUUAACUCGGAACGGUCAAGUGAUACUGCUGUGCUAGAGUGCGGAAGGGGCAACUGGAAUUCUCGGUGUAGCGGUGAAAUGCGUAGAUAUCGAGAGGAACACCUGCGGCGAAGGCGGGUUGCUGGGCCGACACUGACGCUGAGGCGCGAAAGCUAGGGGAGCAAACAGG
rnacentral:rRNA from 1 species